ACCCUGUGUCUUGCCUGGAAACGUCAUCUGGGAGCCCCAAGCCGACGGGCAUUCCUUCCUUCUGUCUCCAAGGCUCUGGCCCGAUGCUGGACCCAGACUCGAGAUUCGGGCCUCGUAGUUAACCCCAGGGUGGUCCCUGCCUCACUCGGGGCCAAGUUCAGACAAGAGGCAAUCAGGGGCUUAAGUGGCUGCCAGAGAAGGCCAGCCGCCUAGUUAUUAAAUAUUAAGUGGCAAGAGCCUGGGAACGUAAAAUUGCAAAUGAGACUUUGGAGCAGAUGUUGCCAACAGCUUGGACCAGUGCUCACAGUUGGGACCAACGGGGGAAUUCAAGUCACCAAGCUGGGCUGCUGGCAACUGCUCUGCUUUUACUGGGCACCUGCUGGGUGCCAGGCUCUGAACCGGACGCUGUAUGUAGAAAGAUUGAUCAGGCCUAACUUCAAGGGGUUCCUGGUCUGGUAAAGAAGACGAACACAGGAAGCAAAGACUCAUGAUCUGCGGGAGGGAUAAAAGUUUGCAUCAUGACAAAGAGGCAGAGAGGAACAAGCCCACGCAGACUGAAGAAGUUCAAUAGAUUCAAGAUGAGAAACUGAAGCACAGAGAGGCGAAGUCUCUUACCCAAAGUCACGCCACCUGUAGCUGGUGAGGCUGCAACCUGGACCCAGUCAGGCUGCCUCUGAAGCCUACUGCUUCCCACUGAAGCUUGGGCAUCAAGCACUGGGGUUGGGGGGGUGCAGCUUGUGUGGGGUGGGAGAAAGAUCCAUUAGGUUCUUGCACACACGGUGGCAAGUGUGAGGCCCUCAGCUGGGAGGAAGGGGCUCUAAAACAUAGCAAGAGCCUCACAUGACACCCUUGAAGGAUUUGGACUUGAACCUGAGCAGCAGUCAGGAUUCCCAGACCACCAGGACAUCUGGGCAAGACACCUACUUUGCUCCUUAAAGUGCGGUCCAUGGACCAGCUGCUUGGGCCUUACCUGAGAGCUUAUUAGAGAUGGGAGAAUCCCAGGGGCCACCCCAGACCUGCUACAUCUGGAUCCACGAGUAACAAGGUUAAACUUUGAGAAUCGUGGGUUACCUGAACUUCACCAGGUCUGGGAUCCCACCCCACAGCGAUGAAGGCAAGCAAGCCUAGCCUUGGUCAUUCCGGGGGCUUCCUCCUCCCCAGAGCUGGCUCAGUUCUGGAGUUGUAGAGAGUCCCAGAAAAUCAGAGGUGGCUUCCAGGAAUCUGUCUAUGCUGCUUUCCUUGUCACUCCUGGGCCCCAUCUUGCUGUAAAUCAAAGCCAAAAGACUGUUCCUUUUGCUGAUAUUCAGGUGAGAUUCUCCAUGUCACUUCCUUCCGGAAACUCCAUUCCCCCAGCAGGACCCUCCUGGCCACGCUUCUCCCAGCAGCUUCAGUACCUACAGAGGACACAGUGUGUCUCAGCCAUGGGCUGAUCUUCGUGCUCCCGUUCCAACAGGAAUGUCCCCAGCGCCCGCACAGCCCCCAGCCCGUGGCAGGUGCUCAGUGCGGGUCUGUGACUGAAGCAUGGCCAAACCAUCGUCCCCUCAAAGGGUCGACCAGCCCAGCAGCGUUGCGCGGCCCUGGGGUCUGUGGUGAGGCCUGAGGCCUUGCAGCUCAGCUCUGGCUUCCUGGGGCCACCCUGACGCUAACCACAAUGCUCUGUCCCCAGCUCCCAGUCCCGCUCAGUGAGGGGCAGUGUUCGCCAGUCUGGGAGCCCAUUCAUCAUUCAUGUUUCUCCAGCAUGUUCUUCCUCCCUCCGCCCCACCCCAGCCGCUCCUGAGUCUCUCUGAUAAUUUCUUUCAUUUGAGACUUUGACCAGAGCUCAGAAGGCCUUAAAUAUGAGCCACCCUUCU